rnacentral:rRNA from 1 species
CAGCAGCCGCGGGAAUACGUAGGGUGCAAGCGUUAAUCGGAAUUACUGGGCGUAAAGCGUGCGCAGGCGGUUAUAUAAGACAGAUGUGAAAUCCCCGGGCUCAACCUGGGAACUGCAUUUGUGACUGUAUAGCUAGAGUACGGCAGAGGGGGAUGGAAUUCCGCGUGUAGCAGUGAAAUGCGUAGAUAUGCUGAGGAACACCGAUGGCGAAGGCAAUCCCCUGGGCCUGUACUGACGCUCAUGCACGAAAGCGUGGGGAGCAAACAGGAUUAGAUACCCCUGUAGUCCCUGUCUCUUAUAC